ACGGGACCAAUGAGAAGUCACGAUGAAACUUUGUAAACAAGUCUCACACGCUGCUUUAAAGCUCCUCGCGUGCGGAAAGUCCGAGAAAUGACGCAGGCGAGCGACCCUCGGCUCCGAGAACAGACAAUCCAGAUGUGAAAUCAAACACCAGUAUUCAUGAAGACACAGAGGAAUAAUAUGAUGGAAAGCAGAAGGAUAAGCAGCACCAAAGAGCCUGCCAGCCAGUUGUGGCUCACCCCCCAUAGGAGCUCAUGCCUGGGUCAAGCGCCCCCCCCCUCUUGGCACACCUGGGUGUCAUGAUAAACAUGGCGGAAAUAAGCGAAGAAGAAGAUCUGACCCCACGUGUGAGCCUUCAAUGUGGCAGCCAGCCUCUGAAUGAAGAUGGAUGGGAACUCCAGGUUUUGUUGGAGCAGGAAUGUCAGACAGACACAGAUUGAAGACAAUGAAAUGAAACCCCACUAUUCUUCACCCUGUCUCCCCACCUGCCCUCCUGAUAUUAACUGUGGCCCCACCAGGACCCCACAUUCCCAGAGACACACCUGGAUCGGGCCUGUUAUCCAUAAAAUACAUGUUAACACAUGAGCAGCGGCUCGUGCUUUUUAAAGAAUUUAACACAGCUGUUUUAUAGGCUCGCUGUACGGGGGAAGGUUUCACUAAUCCUUGACUCUACCGUCAUAUUCACCCGAGAUGUCACGUCAAAUAAAAGAUGAAUGGAUGACUUGUACGUCAACCGUCGUGCUUUGAAUCACAGGAACCGUUUCAAACUUUUUAUUUUCCGUUUGGAACGAGUCACACUCCUGGUCUCAGGCGCUGCGUUCAGACUGAUAAGUGUCCACACACCUUUCCCUGCCGCGGUUGAUGUGGAGCGGUCAUGCCACUGCAAACACUGAUGUGAAAGGGAGCCAACGGAAAUAACACCAGCCGCCCGUCCUCUCCUCUCUCCACCCCGGCUGAUAAGAUUAGGCCGCUGUGGCCUCUAUCAACUCUGGUCCUAAUUGUUCAGCACCAGUCUCGUGCUUUAUUGAUAACAGAUGGCUAAUUUUUUAACAGAUAUACGACUGAAGUUUGAGAUGACACAUUAGGGCUGGGCAAUAAAAUAAUGUUGAUUAUUAUUACAGUAUAAUUGAAUAAGAGGCAGCGGAUCAGCGACACAGCCUUCAAGGGCUGCACACGUACUUAGUUUGACCUUUAGCUGAGUUCUGACGUGGUUAUAAUUGUUGAUUUUUUAUAUUUCUGUUUCAAUGCAAUUGUUUUUAUGAACUCCUUUUACACACGCCCCCGUCUAUCAUGCAUUAACAAUUUCAAAUGAAUCAAAAUCAAAUCAUAGCGAAUAAAUCAAGCAGCAAAUUUCCCCGCCUACUUUAUUACAAUUAAAACGCCCCACAGUUUGGUCUUUCACAGUCUGAAGGUUUCUUUUUUAUGAUAAGAUUUUCAUAAUGAUACGUAAGACUUUGCACAAUUGAAGCUUGUGUUCGAUGAAUGGAAACAGACGAUCACGUAUUUUUUAUUUAAACCAUAAACUUAAAUGAAAAUGGGGGUUUUACCCCUGAAGGUCCAGAAAGUGAAAACAUGAGUUGUAACCAGGACAUGAAAGUAUGAUCAGUAAUUUAAAGUCUGUGAACAGGUGAAAGAAACUGAAGCUGCUGUUCAAAUCACAUGCUCUCGUUCUUAAGGUGUUAAGCUGUGGGAAUUUCUUUGUGUUUAGAAAAGACAAAGGUGUUUUCAGAAAUUAAUCUUGAUUCAGUGAGUUUGAAGUUUCCACCGCUCACACGUUUAAUCCUUAUAUUCAAAUGUUCUCUCUCCCACGUUCUGCACAUAAUAAGACUGUCGGUGUGUUUCCUAUCACCCCCAUGUUUCCGAGUCAGUUUUUCCUGUUUUGAAUUUGAUCAUUUUCACAUUGUCACACCUCCACUUGGUCCUCACCCUCAUCGGCCACAGGUUUCUGAUUGAAAACGUCCUAAACUCUGCUCUGUGCUGUUGUUCAGUUGGCUGGUUGUUCUGCGGUUAACACACAGCUGGCACACACACACACACACACACACACACACACAAUAAGAGGGUGGGCUGUGUGCACAGAAUGUGACAAUUAUCUAUAUAAGAUGACAACCUUGUUAUGUUAUUGAUAAACCAUUGCACACCUCACAUUUUACACAAACCUUCCCACACAUCAUUAUCAUUAAACCAUUUAACCCCCCCCCCCCCCUCCCCCCCUCUAAAAUCACAGAAAAUAUGAUUC